UCCACAGUCACAUUCACCAACAUUGUUCCCAGAACCAGGAAGGACUUCCUACAAUAUUCCCGUCAGCUCACUCUGGAUCUGAACACAGUGAAUAAACACCUCCGUCUGUCUGAGAACAACAGAGUGAUUACAUACACUGACACACUCCAGCCGUAUCCUGAUCAUCCAGACAGAUUUGAUGAUGUGUGUCAGGUGUUGUGUAGACGAGAGAGUGUGUGUGUGGACGCUGUUUACUGGGAGAUUGAGAGGAGUGGAGGUGUGGAUAUAUCAGUGUCAUAUAAGAGCAUCAGCAGGAAGGGAGGAGGUAAAGAGUGUGGGUUUGGAGGUAAUGAUCAGUCCUGGAGUUUGUUCUGCUCUUCCUCCAGAUACUCAUUCAGACACAAUAACAUAGAGACUGCUCUCUCUGUGAAGUCCAUCAGCAGUAGAAUAGGAGUGUUUGUGGAUCACAGUGCAGGAACUCUGUCCUUCUACAGCGUCUCUGACACAAUGAGCCUCAUCCACACAGUCCAGACCACAUUCACUCAGACACUCUAUCCUGGGUUUUGACUUCGUUUUAGAUCAUCAGUGAAAACUGUGUUGAUGAAUCAGAAUAGACUGAUGAGAGAUUCUACCCAUAAUGCUUUGAGCUGCAUGAUAAAUCAGUAACAGUGUUAUUACUGAGUCUCUUCUCUUCUCUUCAUGAUAUUAAUACUGCAGCUUUACUUCUGUCAGUGAAAUAACAUCAGAAUAAAUGUAAUAAAUCCUCACAUAGACAGAAAGAUCAGUGUGUGUGAGUCCUGCUGA